GCCGGGAUAGCUCAGUUGGUAGA
rnacentral:tRNA from 17 species